rnacentral:lncRNA from 1 species
AUGGUGCGGUGGACGCACAGGUGAGUAUCAGGUGAGUAUUAUUAUUGUUAUGAUGAUGUUGAUGUAUAUUGAGCUCAAAUCCUGCACCAUGGUUUAGUGCUUAUAGUAUUCACCGCAUCGCACGCUCGCCUUGGAUCCAAGUAGAUGCUGGUCGCACAGUCCACGCGGAGUGGGUGCGACGGGCCAGUCGUAGAGUGUUAGUGAGAUUUCGACUGGUGGGUGACCUUAGAUUAUGUGCACAGAUGAUUGAUGAGAAAGCACUAGAGCGUAACUUGUGUGCAGAAGGCCGUACAGGUCACAGAGGUGACUCCGGCAGAGUGAGAGUGAUAGAUUUUGAGCUCUAGGUUCAACCGUACAGGGCUAUUAGAGGGCCUCCGGUUGAUUACUUUCUUGCACCUGAUAUGAUUAUUGUUGAUGCAUCCAUACUUAACUGUUGAAUUAGGCAUGGCAUGGCAUGAUUGAUAAAGAAAAAAUGUUGAGUUAAUGAAUUGAAGUAGUAUUGAGAAUAUAUAUGUAUAUUUAUAUUUUAUAUUUCUGGGAAAGUAUACAGGUUUUACGGAGAGGGGUUACAACGUUUUGAGAAAUGUUUGGAUUUGGAAAAGAAUUGUUUUACUGACCCACUCAAUUUUGGUUUUGCGCCCCUCCAGGUUCAGGAAUCACAAAGGUGCGGUGACUACGAGGAAUUCGACGGUGUUCUGACAGAUUGGACAAAAUUAGGACUCACCUUCGGGUGUAUCAACUUAUAAAUUGUAUCUUAAAGCUUCCGUACUGUGCAAAUGGUUACGUCAUUCUCACGCGACGGCCAGCAUGCCCU